rnacentral:ribozyme from 1 species
AGGCCUCCUCUUCUUGCGCAUCAAGUAGUUACUAACUAACAAACCCUAAGCUAGUUAUAUAUAAAUCUAAACAUCUAAAACUAAAAAAAA